rnacentral:lncRNA from 1 species
CCUUCCCCGUCCCCUAAUAAUUCCCCUAAUUCCGCUAAUUCCCCUAAUUUACCUAAUUCCUUCUUUUUUUGGUCUUUUCCCUGUAGCUACGCCCGCAGAGACAGCCCCACCUACGACCCUUACAAACGCUCCCCUUCCGAAUCCACUUCGGAAUCCCGCUCCCGAUCCCGCUCCCCUUCCCCGGGCCACGAGGAGAAGAUCACUUUCAUCACCAGUUUCGGGGGCAGCGACGAGGAGGCAGCGGCCGCUCAAGCCGCCGCCGCCGCCCCCCCGGGCAAGCAGCGCUGCCCCCCCGGGCAACCCCCCCCGGGGCCUCGCGCCCCGCGCCCCGCGGGAGCCCCCCCCCCCCGCCCCCCCCCCCCAAUUUUUUGCCCCCACGGGUUUGGGGUUUGAGGCUCCGCACCUCGCAGCCUCCCCCGGGGGGGUGAGGGAAAGAGGGUGGAUUGGAUUUGGGUUGAAAUUAAAGGGUUUUGGUGCUUUUAAAGAGCCGGGGGAGGGAGCUGGGGUUGCGACGCCCCCCCCCCCCCCCCCCCACAGCGCCCCCCCCCUGGUUCCCCCCCCCCCCCCCCCCCCGCCCUCCGCCCUCCUCCUCCUCGCCCUCCUCCUCCUCGUCCUCCAGCUCCCGCUCCAGCUCCCGCUCGCACCGGGCCCCCCCCCCGCCGUUACCGCCGCUCCCGGUCCCGCCGCUACUCCCGGUCCCGCUCCCGCAGCCGCCGGUAUUCGGGGGGGGGCUCCCGGGACAGUCGUCGCCACUCCCGCUCCUAUUCCCCCGACCGGGGGUACCGCUACGGCUCCCGACGCCGCUCCAGGAGCCGAUCCCGUUCCGGGGAGCGCUGCCGGAGGGGGGGGGCCCGCUCGAGUCGCCGCUGGAGCAGCAGCAGCCGCAGCCCCAGCCCCUCGCCCAGCCCCAGCGCCUCCCGCUCGGCCUCGCCGCCCCGCGACAAGCCCCCGCGCCCCCCAGCCUCGCCGGCCGUGGGGGAGAAACUGAAAAAGGCUGACGCUGCUGCUGGUAAAGAGACAGGAGCUGCCAAAGUCAGUAAGAAUUUAACCUCCCCUCCUUUAUCCGCACCAAGCCGAGCAGACUUUAAGGGCUGGAGGAGGUGCGGGGCCGGCGCCCGGCCCCCCCCGCGCCCCUCCCUGGGGGGGGGAGGGUGGUGGGGACCCCCCCGGGCUGCCCCGGGGUCCCUGUGGGGCUCGGGGCUGUGCCCGGUGGUCCCUAA